AUGGCUGUCGUCAGCUCGUGUCGUGAGAUGUUGGUUAGUCCGCAACGAGCGCAACCCCUACUUGUUAGUUUGUCCAUCAUUCAGUUGGGCACUCUAGCGAGACUGCCGGUAAUAAACCGGAGGAAGUGGGGAUGACGUCAAAUCAUCAUGCCCCUUAUGACCUGGGCUACACACGUGCUACAAUGGUUGGUACAACGAGUUGCGAGUCGGUGACGGCGAGCUAAUCUCUUAAAGCCAAUCUCAGUUCGGAUUGUAGGCUGCAACUCGCCUACAUGAAGUCGGAAUCGCUAGUAAUCGCGGAUCAGCACGCCGCGGUGAAUACGUUCCCGGGCCUU
rnacentral:rRNA from 1 species